rnacentral:rRNA from 1 species
GACGAACGCUGGCGGCGUGCCUAAUACAUGCAAGUAGAACGCACAGUCUAUACCGUAGCUUGCUACACCAUAAACUGUGAGUUGCGAACGGGUGAGUAACGCGUAGGUAACCUGCCCGGUAGCGGGGGGUAACUAUUGGGAACGAUAGCUAAUACCUCAUAAUAUUGAUUAUUGCAUGAUAAUUGAUUGAAAGAUGCUAUUGCAUCACUACCAGAUGGACCUGUGUUGUAUUAGCUAGUAGGUGAGGUAACGGCUCACCUAGGCGAAGAUACAUAGCCGACCUGAGAGGGUGGUCGGCCAAACUGGGACUGAGAAACGGCCCAGACCCCUACGGGAGGGAGCAGUAGGGAAUCUUUGGGAAUGGGCGAAAGUCUGACCGAGCAACGGCGGGUGGAUGAAGGAGGUUUUCGGAUCGUAAAGCUCUGUUGUAAGGGAAGAACGGGUUGGAGAGUGGAAAGUGCACACUGUGACGGUACCUUAUCAGAAAGGGACGGCUAACUACGUG